GUCCCCGUGGUUCUUCUGUCCCUUUUUCCAAAGACAUUAUUUUCACAAAAAGGUGACAUCUUUUAAAUGAUUUCAAGGCAAAUAAUGAAGGUAAACACAAGUUUGAUAUGGUGCUCAAUUUUCUUUUUUCCACUUUUGCUUGCGUUUUGUCCGAUGAUUUAGCUUUUUGUCCGACACUUUUACUUUUUGUCCGUUGCUUUUAGUCCGUUUUGUUAAAUAUUUAGACUUUAGACACAAUUGGUUAGGUGUAUCUUUGGCAUGCAAUCAUACCACAUAUCUUUUUUUAAUAAUGUAUCGGUAAUCACAUACUCUUUCUACUCAUACAUAUACAUUUAGUUUCGCAUUUUAAUAGAUCUAGAUCUAGAUUUUCAUAACAUGGUCUACAUAUAUAUAACUUACAGCAU
rnacentral:lncRNA from 1 species